rnacentral:rRNA from 1 species
GUACACGCUGUGACUAGCAUAUCAAUAAGCGGAGGAAAAGAAACUAACAAGGAUUCCCCUAGUAACGGCGAGUGAAGCGGGAAGAGCUCAAAUUUGAAAUCUUAAAGGGUUUCCCUUUACGAAUUGCAGUUUAAAGAAGUGUUUUCUGUUGAGGUUUUGGUAAAAGUUCUUUGGAAUAGGACAUCAUAGAGGGUGAGAAUCCCGUAUUUGACCUUUACUUUCAACUUUGUGAUACACUUUCAAAGAGUCGGAUUGUUUGGGAAUGCAGUCCAAAAUGGGUGGUAAAUUUCAUCUAAGGCUAAAUAUUGGCGAGAGACCGAUAGCGAACAAGUACCGUGAGGGAAAGAUGAAAAGAACUUUGAAAAGAGAGUUAAACAGUACGUGAAAUUGUCAAAAGGGAAGCGUUUGACACCAGUGUUGUUUUUCUGAAAAUCAAUUAAAGAACUGUUUAUGCUAAGCUGUUUAGACUUUAUCAGCUAUACUGUUUAGUUUUGAGCUUUUCUUUAAUGCACUUUUCAGUUAACAAGUCAACAUCAAUUUCUUUUGCUGUAAAAAAGCUUGAGGAAGGUGGCUUGAGAUUCGUCUUAAGUGUUUAUAGCCUCUUGCCUAUGCAGUCGGAGAGAUUGAGGUCUGCAGCGUAGAUCCUUCGGGGCUAAAUGCAUUUGUGCUAAGUUAUAGCAUUUUAUAGACAACUUGUUGACUAUGAUUUGUCUUGUAGCUUACUCGCUUAUGUUAUUUUACCUACGCUUAGGAUGUUGACGCGCGUGUGUGCGUG